GGCUCAAUGGUUUAGUGGUAUAAUUCUUGCUUCGGGCUCUCUUAAUCAUUGCCCUCACAGUGAUUAAACUACUUGAAUUGCAAGAGGUCCCUGGUUCGAUUCCUGGUUGAGCCC
rfam:Aspergillus wentii DTO 134E9 unplaced genomic scaffold ASPWEscaffold_5, whole genome shotgun sequence.